rnacentral:rRNA from 1 species
AUUGAACGCUGGCGGCAGGCCUAACACAUGCAAGUCGAACGAGUGGCGGACGGGUGACUAAUGUCUGUGAAACUGCCUUAUGGAGGGGGAUAACUACUGGAAACUGUAGCUACUACCGCAUACCAUCAGAUGUGCCCAGAUGGGAUUAGCUUGUUGGUGUGGGAACGGCUCACCAAGGCGACGAUCCCUAGCUGGUCUGAGAGGAUGACCAGCCACACUGGAACUGAUACACGGUCCAGAUUCCUACGGGAGGCAGCAGUGGGGAAUAUUGCACAAUGGGCGAAAGCCUGAUGCAGCCAUGCCGCGUGUAUGAAGAAGGCCUUCGGGUUGUAAAGUACUUUAAGUGGGGAGGCGUUACCCGCAGAAGAAGCACCUGCUAACUCCGUGCCAGCAGCCGCGGUAAUUC